AGUGAACGCUGGCGGUAGGCCUAACACAUGCAAGUCGAACGGCAGCACAGUAAGAGCUUGCUCUUACGGGUGGCGAGUGGCGGACGGGUGAGGAAUACAUCGGAAUCUACUUUUUCGUGGGGGAUAACGUAGGGAAACUUACGCUAAUACCGCAUACGACCUACGGGUGAAAGCAGGGGAUCUUCGGACCUUGCGCGAUUGAAUGAGCCGAUGUCGGAUUGGCUAGUUGGCGGGGUAAAGGCCCACCAAGGCGACGAUCCGUAGCUGGUCUGAGAGGAUGAUCAGCCACACUGGAACUGAGACACGGCCCAGACUCCUACGGGAGGCAGCAGUGGGGAAUAUUGGACAAUGGGCGCAAGCCUGAUCCAGCCAUACCGCGUGGGUGAAGAAGGCCUUCGGGUUGUAAAGCCCUUUUGUUGGGAAAGAAAAGCAGCAGGUUAAUACCCCGCUGUUCUGACGGUACCCAAAGAUUAAGCACCGGCUAACUUCGU
rnacentral:rRNA from 1 species